rnacentral:lncRNA from 1 species
CUCCUACACUGGGAGAAGACACCCAAAAAUAUUCAUUAAGUCUUAUUCUACUUAUACAAUAAUGUUCUAGUUAUUUCCGUUUUACUCCCUAUUGCUAUCAGUGCAUUGAAAUGGAUUGGCUGAUCUAAAAAAGGAGAAAAAAGAAAGAAAGAGGAUAAAAUUCCCAAAAGAAAAAGAAAGAUAGCCAAGUCUUUAUUCUCAUAUUAGGGAGGUAUGUUAUCCCCAAGGAGCAAUUGUAGAAUUAGAUAUUCACCAUUAGUCAUCACCCCUCAUUAUCACCAUC